rnacentral:rRNA from 1 species
ACGCUGGCGGCGUGCCUAAUACAUGCAAGUAGAACGCUGAAGGAGGAGCUUGCUUCUCCGGAUGAGUUGCGAACGGGUGAGUAACGCGUAGGUAACCUGCCUGGUAGCGGGGGAUAACUAUUGGAAACGAUAGCUAAUACCGCAUAAGAGUAGAUGUUGCAUGACAUUUGCUUAAAAGGUGCAAUUGCAUCACUACCAGAUGGACCUGCGUUGUAUUAGCUAGUUGGUGGGGUAACGGCUCACCAAGGCGACGAUACAUAGCCGACCUGAGAGGGUGAUCGGCCACACUGGGACUGAGACGCGGCCCAGACUCCUACGGGAGGCAGCAGUAGGGAAUCUUCGGCAAUGGACGGAAGUCUGACCGAGCAACGCCGCGUGAGUGAAGAAGGUUUUCGGAUCGUAAAGCUCUGUUGUAAGAGAAGAACGAGUGUGAGAGUGGAAAGUUCACACUGUGACGGUAUCUUACCAGAAAGGGACGGCUAACUACGUGCCAGCAGCCGCGGUAAUACGUAGGUCCCGAGCGUUGUCCGGAUUUAUUGGGCGUAAAGCGAGCGCAGGCGGUUAGAUAAGUCUGAAGUUAAAGGCUGUGGCUUAACCAUAGUACGCUUUGGAAACUGUUUAACUUGAGUGCAAGAGGGGAGAGUGGAAUUCCAUGUGUAGCGGUGAAAUGCGUAGAUAUAUGGAGGAACACCGGUGGCGAAAGCGGCUCUCUGGCUUGUAACUGACGCUGAGGCUCGAAAGCGUGGGGAGCAAACAGGAUUAGAUACCCUGGUAGUCCACGCCGUAAACGAUGAGUGCUAGGUGUUAGACCCUUUCCGGGGUUUAGUGCCGUAGCUAACGCAUUAAGCACUCCGCCUGGGGAGUACGACCGCAAGGUUGAAACUCAAAGGAAUUGACGGGGGC